UACGUAGGGUGCGAGCGUUGUCCGGAAUUAUUGGGCGUAAAGAGCUUGUAGGCGGUUUGUCGCGUCUGCUGUGAAAAUCCGGGGCUCAACCCCGGACUUGCAGUGGGUACGGGCAGACUAGAGUGUGGUAGGGGAGACUGGAAUUCCUGGUGUAGCGGUGGAAUGCGCAGAUAUCGGGAGGAACACCUAUGGCGAAGGCAGCUCGCUGGGACGAUACUGACGCUGAGGAGCGAAAGCGUGGGGAGCGAACAGG
rnacentral:rRNA from 1 species